rnacentral:rRNA from 1 species
CCCUUAGAUGUCCUGGGCCGCACGCGUGCUACACUGAGUGGAUCAGCGGGUCAGGUUGCGCGAAAGCGUUUCCUAAUCUUGAAAUCCGCUCGUGAUGGGGAUUGACGGUUGCAAUUUUCUGUCAUGAACGAGGAAUACCUUGUAAGCGCGGGUCAUCAUCCCGCGCUGAAUACGUCCCUGCCCUUUGUACACACCGCCCGUCGCUCCUACCGAUUGAGUGGUCCGGUGAGGCUUUGGGAUCUGAGCGGAAAGAGCGUUUCGCUCGUUCUGCCCGGAAAACUCAGUCGAACCUUAUCAUUUAGAGGAAGGAGAAGUCGUAACA